rnacentral:tRNA from 1 species
GCCUCAGUAGCUCAGUGGUAGAGCGCUUGUUUUGUAAACAAGAAGUCGGGGGUUCAAUUCCCUCCUGGGGCU